rnacentral:rRNA from 1 species
CCUGGAGACUCCUCGGGAGCAGCAGUAGGGAAUCUUCGGCAAUGGGGGCAACCCUGACCGAGCAACGCCGCGUGAGUGAAGAAGGUUUUCGGAUCGUAAAGCUCUGUUGUAAGUCAAGAACGAGUGUGAGAGUGGAAAGUUCACACUGUGACGGUAGCUUACCAGAAAGGGACGGCUAACUACGUGCCAGCAGCCGCGGUAAUACGUAGGUCCCGAGCGUUGUCCGGAUUUAUUGGGCGUAAAGCGAGCGCAGGCGGUUUGAUAAGUCUGAAGUUAAAGGCUGUGGCUCAACCAUAGUUCGCUUUGGAAACUGUCAAACUUGAGUGCAGAAGGGGAGAGUGGAAUUCCAUGUGUAGCGGUGAAAUGCGUAGAUAUAUGGAGGAACACCGGUGGCGAAAGCGGCUCUCUGGUCUGUAACUGACGCUGAGGCUCGAAAGCGUGGGGAGCGAACAGGAUUAGAAACCCCUGUAGUCCAGAGAA